GGGUCUAUAGCUCAGCUGGGAGAGCGCCUGCUUUGCACGCAGGAGGUCUGCGGUUCGAUCCCGCAUAGCUCCACCA
rnacentral:tRNA from 2 species